UACUACUACAAAUUUAAAAAACUUUCCCAAAUACCAAAUAGCAAGUUGCAUCUUGUAACCUACCAUGUCAACAACACAAAACUGAAGAGUGUUCUGCUCACCAAAUUCAAAACAGAAAAACAAAAACACACAAGGAAGAAAAAGAAGCAGGUUUGAAUUUCUGUGAAUUCAUAAUAGAGAGAAGAAGAGAAGAUAGAGGUUGUUUGCAUUGUACAGUAUGGAAACAGAGGAUUGGGACUUGAGCGCUGAAGACCUUGAUUCCCUCGAACGUGACGCUUUCCAGAAGAUUGCUCAACUGCGCCACGCUCCUUCUUCUUCCCAACAACCGCAUUCUGCAACUCACCACUCGGAGCGACACCCACCAAACCCUCUUCCCGAUUCACGUCCUCAAAGGGUUGAUGCUUUGUCUCAACAAGGAGCUAGAGUACUUCCCACGUCAGUGAAUUUGAAAGCAGGAACAGCAAACAAUGAUGAACACGCAAAAGAACGGUCGAAGAUUAUGGUCAAAUUUUUCCUUCAUUCUAGUGGAAGCAUCGCCGCAAGGUUUCAAUAUGACCAGGUAGUAGUUGCUGCUUUCCGGAGAAUACCUAAAUCUUUUUGGAAUGCAAAGGAGCGGUUAUGGAUGUUUCCACUAUCUUCUUUAUCAGAAGCAGAAAGGGUUCUUGGAGAAUUAUCUGGUCAUAAUGUUCAGGUGGAAAACUUAGAUCCCUUAGUGCAGCGGGCCAUUACUGCUGCAUCUGCUGUUCCAGAUCUUCAAGGUCGAUACGACAAGAUCCCUAGCGAUGUUGAAUCAAAGCUUUUGCCAUUUCAGCGAGAAGGUGUUAGGUUUAUAUUGCAGCAUGGAGGUCGUGCUCUUUUAGCUGAUGAAAUGGGACUUGGGAAAACUUUGCAGGCCAUUGCUGUAGCUGCAUGCGUUCAGGACUCGUGGCCGGUUCUUAUAAUUGCACCUUCUUCAUUACGCUUGCAAUGGGCUUCUAUGAUUCAACAAUGGCUGAAUAUUCCUUCAUCAGAUAUAGUUAUUGUCUUAUCUCAAAAUGGUGGAUCAAAUAGAGGAGGAUUCAACAUAGUAUCUUCUAGUGCCAAAGGAAGCAUUCAUCUGGAUGGGCUAUUCAAUAUUAUCUCAUAUGAUUUGGUGCCAAAGCUACAGAAUAUGCUUAUCGCAUCCGACUUUAAGGUUGUCAUUGCAGAUGAAUCACACUUUCUGAAAAAUGCUCAGGCGAAGAGGACUACUGCUUCUCUGCCAGUUUUAAAGAAUGCUCAAUAUGCAAUAUUGCUUAGUGGAACUCCUGCUUUAUCCCGACCGAUUGAACUAUACAAGCAGCUGGAAGCUUUGUAUCCUGAAGUAUAUAGGAAUGUUCAUGACUAUGGUAACCGGUAUUGCAAGGGUGGAAUUUUUGGAAUUUAUCAAGGUGCAAGUAACCAUGAAGAAUUGCACAAUUUGAUGAAAGCAACAGUGAUGAUUCGCAGGCUUAAAAAGGAUGUUCUUACUGAACUUCCUGUAAAGCGUAGGCAACAAGUCUUCCUAGACUUGGCUGACAAGGACAUGAAGCAAAUUAAUGCUUUAUUUCGUGAGUUGGAGAUGGUUAAAGCCAAAAUUAAGGCAUCAAACUCAAAAGAGGAGGUUGAAUCACUGAAGUUUACUCAAAAGCACCUUAUUAACAAGAUAUAUACUGAGUCUGCAGAAGCCAAGAUUCCAUCGGUUCUGGAUUAUGUGGGAACUGUCAUUGAGGCAGGUUGCAAGUUUCUUAUCUUUGCACAUCAUCAACCAAUGGUUGAGGCCAUACAUGAGUUUCUUCUUAAGAAAAAAGUGGGCUGCAUCCGGAUUGAUGGAGGUACACCAGCUGCAUCAAGGCAACACUUGGUUACAGAGUUUCAGGAAAAAGAUGCUAUCAAGGCAGCAGUGCUAUCUAUUAAAGCUGGAGGCUUUGGGUUGACUUUAACUGCUGCCAGCACAGUCAUUUUUGCAGAAUUAUCUUGGACUCCAGGUGACCUAAUUCAGGCAGAAGACCGUGCUCAUAGAAUCGGCCAGGUAUCUUCAGUAAAUAUAUACUACUUGCUAGCAAAUGACACAGUUGAUGACAUCAUAUGGGACGUAGUGCAAAGCAAACUGGAAAAUUUGGGGCAGAUGUUAGAUGGCCAUGAGAACACCUUAGAGGUCUCAGCUGGCCAGCCAGUGAGUAGCCCUGCAAAACAGAAAACUCUUGAUCAGUUUGUUAGAAGAUGUGGCAACAUGGAACAUCAGUCCAGCCCGAAACGUGCCCGACAAUGACCUGAAAUUCAUGUGGUAUAAGUAAACCCAUUCUUGCUCCUGCACAACUGCUGGCUGAGUAAUUAGGAUCAUGUCUUAAAAGUUCUGUGAGCAGCAGGUGCUUAAAAUGGACAAUGGUUGCAUGUUGACACAUUCUUGCUCAUCCCAUGUAAAGGGCUUAUAAAGUAGAGGGUGUAGUUAAACUCUGUUGACAAGAGGUCAUAUAAAAUAGGUUGUCUGAACAGCUUGCAACUCUAAACUAUUUUGCUGGUACUGGAGGAGGUGAUCGGUUACUGUACUGCGUAUUCGAUGAAAAUGGCGAUCAAGUCUACAACAGUUUUUAGGGUUCUUUUACUCCUUCCUUAACGUCUUGUCCCCUUAAGUUUUGUUCUCUGUGGGACCUGUACAGAAUACAUUAUCAUAUGAAUGUAACAUAUAAGUUGCUCUCCUAAAUACAAAAUUUCAUAUUUCAUCCA